ACGCGUGGAACCUUACCAGGUCUUGACAUCCCAUUGACCGCUAUGGAGACAUAGCUUUCCCUUCGGGGACAGUGGUGACAGGUGGUGCAUGGUUGUCGUCAGCUCGUGUCGUGAGAUGUUGGGUUAAGUCCCGCAACGAGCGCAACCCUUGUUCUUAGUUGCCAUCAUUUAGUUGGGCACUCUAAGGUGACUGCCGGUGACAAACCGGAGGAAGGUGGGGAUGACGUCAAAUCAUCAUGCCCCUUAUGACCUGGGCUACACACGUGCUACAAUGGAUGGUACAAAGGGCUGCAAGACUGCGAGGUCAAGCUAAUCCCAUAAAACCAUUCUCAGUUCGGAUUGUAGGCUGCAACUCGCCUACAUGAAGCUGGAAUCGCUAGUAAUCGCGGAUCAGCAUGCCGCGGUGAAUACGUUCCCGGGCCUUGCACACACCGCCCGU
rnacentral:rRNA from 1 species